UGUAGAUAUAUCGAUCCUCGCAAGAGUCCGAUGUGUCGUCGACUGUCGAAGGAGUGUGACUCCCGUCAAUGUAGAUAUAUCGGUCCUCGCAAGAGUCCGAUGUGUCGUCGACUGUCGAAGGAGUGUGACUCCCGUCAAGGUAGAUAUAUCGGUCCUCGUAAGAGUUCGAUGUGUCGUCGACUAUCGAAGGAGUGUGACUC
rnacentral:lncRNA from 1 species